rnacentral:rRNA from 1 species
AUAUUUGUCAAUGGCUGCAACUCUGAACCAGCCACGUCGCGUGAAGGAUGACGGCCCUACGGGUUGUAAACUUCUUUUUUACAGGAAUAAAGUGCGUCACGUGUGACUUUUUGAAUGUACUGUAUGAAUAAGGAUCUGCUAAUACCGUGCACGCAGCCGCGGUAAUACGGAGGAUCCAAGCGUUAUCCGGAUUUAUUUGGUUUACAGGGUGCGCAGGCGGAAGAUUAAGUCGGCGGUGAACUUUUGCAGCUAAACUAUAAAAGUGCCAUCGAUACUGGUAUUCUUGAGUGUGGAUGAAGUAGGCGGAGUUUGUUGUGUAGCGGUGAAGUGCAUAGAUAUCACGAGGAACUCCGAUUGCACAGGCAGCUUACUAGGCCAUAACUGACUCUCAGGCACGAAGGCGUGGAGAUCAAAC